AUCUAUUACUAUUAAUCUAUCUAUCACUGCUAAUCUAUUGCUACUAAUCUAUCUCUGCUAAUCUAUUGCUGUCAAUCUAUCUACUGCUGUCAAUCUAUCUAUUACUGUCAAUCUAUCUAUCACUGCUAAUCUAUUGCUGCUAAUCUAUCACUGCUAAUCUAUCACUGCUAAUCUAUUACUGUCAAUCUAUCUACUGCUGUCAAUCUAUCUACCACUGUUAAUCUAUCUACCACUGCUAAUCUAUCACUACUGUCAAUCUAUAUAGAGUAAAUUAUAAUCUUAUUUGAUUUCAUUUUGUAAAAUGAAAUCAAAUAAAAUCAGAAUCACUAAUUUAUUAGUAAAACAUAAUCUGAGACU
rnacentral:sRNA from 2 species